CCCGAGUUGUAAUUUGUAGAGGAUGCUUUUGGUGAGGUGCCUUCCGAGUUCCCUGGAACGGGACGCCAUAGAGGGUGAGAGCCCCGUCUGGUUGGACGCCGAUCCUCUGUAAAGCUCCUUCGACGAGUCGAGUAGUUUGGGAAUGCUGCUCUAAAUGGGAGGUAUAUGUCUUCUAAAGCUAAAUACCGGCCAGAGACCGAUAGCGCACAAGUAGAGUGAUCGAAAGAUGAAAAGAACUUUGAAAAGAGAGUUAAAAAGUACGUGAAAUUGUUGAAAGGGAAGCGCUUGUGACCAGACUUGGGCUUGGUUGAUCAUCCGGGGUUCUCCCCGGUGCACUCUUCCGGCUCAGGCCAGCAUCAGUUCGCCUCGGGGGAUAAAGGCUUCGGGAAUGUGGCUCUCUCCGGGGAGUGUUAUAGCCCGCUGCGUAAUACCCUGUGGCG
rnacentral:rRNA from 2 species